CAGUCGCCGCGGGAACACGUAGGUGGCAAGCGUUGUCCGGAUUUAUUGGGCGUAAAGCGAGCGCAGGCGGUCAAUUAAGUCUGAUGUGAAAGCCCCCGGCUCAACCGGGGAGGGUCAUUGGAAACUGGUUGACUUGAGUGCAGAAGAGGAGAGUGGAAUUCCAUGUGUAGCGGUGAAAUGCGUAGAUAUAUGGAGGAACACCAGUGGCGAAGGCGACUCUCUGGUCUGUAACUGACGCUGAGGCUCGAAAGCGUGGGUAGCAAACAGGAUUAGAUACCCCUGUAGUCCCUGUCUCUUAUAC
rnacentral:rRNA from 1 species